rnacentral:lncRNA from 10 species
AGCAGUUCUCCCUGCCUCAGCCUCCUGAGUAGCCGGGAUUACAGGCACGCGCUACCAGGCCCGGCUAAUUUUUUUUUUUUUUCUUUUUUGGUAGAAUCGAGGUUUUGCCAUGUUGGCCACGUUGGUCUCGAAUUCCUGACCUCAGUUGAUCCGCCCAUCUCAGCCUCCCAAAGUGCUGGGAUUUCAAGCGUUAGCCACCGCACUCGACCAAAUGACACUGUCUUAAAUGAUUUAAUGUCUUAAAUCGGGAAAGGAGAGUAAGAGAAAGCACUCAAUGGAGUCAGAGGUGUCUUGCAGCCUAGCUCUUUCCACAGACAAGCCACAUGGGCCUAUCAUCUAACCUUUUCAAACUUCUCCAACUGCUUCUGUGAUGGAGGGAUUUGGGCUAGAGGAUCUUUUUAUUUUAUUUUAUUUUAUUUUAUUUUGGUGACAGAGUCUCACACUGUCGCCCGGGCUGAAGUGCAGUGGCACAAUCUCAGCUUGCUGCAACCUCUUUCUCCUGGGUUCAUGCGAUUCUCCCGCCUCAGCCUCCCAACUAGCUGGGAUUACAGGCGCACACCACCACACCUGGCUUAUUUUUUGUGUUUUUAGUAGAGACGGAGUUUCACUAUGUUGGCCAGACUGGUCUCGAACUCCUGACCUCGUGAUCCGCCCACCUCGGCCUCCCAAAGUGCUGUGAUUACAGGCAUGAGCCACCGCGCCUGGCCGAUGAUCCCAUUUUUCAAAGUAGGCUGGGUGCGGUAGCUCACGCCUGUAAUCCCAGCACUCUGGGAGGCUAAGGCGGGUGGAUCACUUGAGGCCAGCAGUUCGAGACCAGCCUGGCCAACAUGGUGAAACCCCGUGUCUACUAAAAAUACAAAAAUUAGCUCGGCAUAGUGGUACGUACCUGUACUUUCAGCUACUUGGGAGGUUGAGACAGGAGAAUUUUGCUUGAACCCAGGAGGCGGAGGUUGCAGUGAGCCAAGAUGGCACCACUGCACUCCAUUCUGGGUGACAGAGUGAGACCCUGUCUCAAAAAUAAUGAUAAUAAAAUAAAAGUAAUUAUUUAAGGCUGGGAGCGGUGGCUCACGCCUGUAAUCACAGCAUUUUGGGAGGCCGAGGCGGUGGAUCAUGAGGUCAGGAGGUCGAGACCAUCCUGUCUUAACACGGUGAAACCCUGUCUCUACUAAAAAUACAAAAAAAUUAGCCAGGCGUGGUGGCGGGCGCCUGUAGUCCCAGCUACUCGGGAGGCUAAGGCAGGAGAAUCGCUUGAACCCAGGAGGCGGAGGUUGCAGUGAGCCGAGAUCACACCACUGCACUCCAGCCUGGGUGACAGAGCGAGACUCCGUCUCAAAAAAAAUAAUUAUUAUUUAAAAUAAUCAUUGGGCCUGGCGCGGUGGCUCACACCUGUAAUCCUAGCACUUUGGGAGGCCAAGGCGGGUGGAUCACGAGGUCAGGAGAUUGAGAUCCAGCCUGGCCAACAUGGUGAAACCCCAUCUCUGCUAAAAAUAUUUUUUAAAUUAGCUGAGCGUGGUGGUGGGCACCUGUAAUCCCAGCUAGUCGGGAGACUGAGGCAGGAGAAUCGCUUGAACCUGGGAGUCGAAGGUUGCAGUGAGCCGAGGUCGUGCCACUGCAGUCCACCUGGCCAACACAGCAGGCCUCUCUCUAAAAUAAUAAUUAUUAUUAUUGUUAUUCUUGACAGGCCAGUGUAGAACAGGUGGGGCAUCUGUGGUAUGACAGAACUGGGUUCCAAUUCUGUCCCUUCACCUGUCCCAGGUUCCUCAUCUGAAAACUGUGACCCAGUAAACCUAAUUUCAUGAGCAGCUUUCAUUAAAAUUGAAAUAAUGUUGGAAAAUGCCUUGUAACCGUGCUUGAUAUAGAGUAGUUACUUAGCCAGUUAUUUCCUCUCUUCUUCCAAUUCCUAACAAAAUGGAAAAACGUUUGGUUGCUAGGAAAGAGCUCUAAGGGGAUUUUGUUGUUGUUUGAGACAAAGUUUGGCUCUAUCGCCCAGGAUGGAGUGCAAUGGCACAAUCUCUGCUCACUGCAACCUCCGCCAUAGACAGGAGCCAAGCAUAGUGGCGUGCACCUGUCUGUAGUUCCAGCCUCUUAGGAGGCUGAGGCAGGAGGGUUGCUUGAGGCCAGGAGUUUGAGUCUAGCUUGGGCAAUAUAUUGAAACCUUGUCUCUUAAAAAAAAAAAAAAAAGAGGCCAGGUGUAGUGGCUCACGCCUGUAAUCCCAGCACAUUGGGAGGCCGAGGCAGUGGAUCACUUGACCCCAGGAGUUGGAGACCAGCCUGGGCAACAUGCAAACUUCCGUCUUCUAGGCCGGGCGCGGUGGCUCAACACCUGUAAUACCAGCACUUUGGUAGGCCGAGGCGGGCAGAUCACGAGGUCAGGAGAUCGAGACCAUCCUGGCUAAGGUGAAACCCAGUCUCUACUAAAAAUAAAAAAAAAAUUAGCCGGGUGUGGUGGCUGGCACCUGUAGUCCCGGCUACUUGGGAGGCUGAGGCAGGAGAAUGGCAUGAACCCAGGAGGUGGAGCUUGCAGUAAGCCGAGACCGCACCACUGCACUCCAGCCCAGGCAACAGAGCUAGACGCCCUCUCAAAUAAAAGUAAAUAAAUAAAUAAAAUUAUGUCAUUAAAAAAAAAUACAGGGCCGGGCGCGGUGGCUCAUGCUUGUAAUCCCAGCACUUUGGGAGGGUGAAGCGGGUGAAUCACGAGGUCAGGAGAUGGAGAGCAUCCUGGCUAACACAGUGAAACCCCGUCUCUACUAAAAAUACAAAAAAUUAGCCGGGCAAGGCAGCGUGUGUCUGUAGUCCCAGCUGCUGGGGAGGCUGAGGCAGGAGAAUGGCAUGAACCCAGGAGGCAGAGCUUGCAGUGAGCCAAGAUCCCGCCACUGCACUCCAGCCUGGGCGACAGAGCGAGACUCGGUCUCAAAAAAUAAUAAUUAACAAAAAAAAAUACAAAAGUUAGAUGCGCAUGUUGCCAUAUGCUCGUGGUCCCAGCUACUCGGCAAGCUGAGGUUGGGAGAUCACUUGAGCCCAGAAGGUGGAGGUUGCAGUGAGCUGAGAACCCACCAUUGUACUCCAGCCUGCGUGUCAGUGAGAUUCUGUCUCAAAAAAAAGAAAAGAAAAAAAAUCUAGGCUAUGCUCCCUAGUAUGGGAAAUCUAGUCUAGUCAUUUGGCAGAAUCAGGCUUUGCGGGCCAUAUUGUCUCUGUCGUAACUACCAACUCUGCUGGUUAAAAGGGAAGUAGCCACAAACAAUGUCUGAAUGAUGGAUUAUGGCUGUGUUCCAAUAAAACUUUAUUUGCAAAAACAGGUUGCUGGUUGCAAGGUAGUUUUCCAACCUCUACGUGAUUCUCAGACUUUAGGUUGCAUCAUAAUCACCUGGAGGGCUUGUUCAAACGCAGAUUGCUGGGCCCCACCCCCAGAAUUUUUUAUUCAGCCAGUCUGGGGUGGGGCUGAUAUUUGUAUGUCUAACAACUUUCCAGGUGAGGCUGGUUGAUGAUGGUCUGGAAACCACUUUGAAAACCUCUGAAGCUUUUCUCAACUCCCUUUGUGUACCUAAAACACUUUAUCCCUACUGUAGAUGUAGUAUUUAGCGUGUUAUAUUAGUUUAGUGAUUGGUGUGUGGGUCUCUGGGAGCCUUUCUGAAUCACCUCCCUAGCCUAGUGCCUGACAAUAGCAAUUUGCUCCCCAUUCAUUGACUGAACUGAAACCAGAGGGUCAUGGUCAUCAUCAUUGUUCCAAGCCAUAGAUAGAAGAUGAAGUCACCACCCCCGAUCUCAGAGCUCAUCAGAGUAGAGCUUGGGCUGGACUAUGCCCUUCUCUGCAGUGAGCAGUUUUCUCUGUGGAGCUCUGCAACCUGGAGCCAGCCCUGCCUGGGGUUUCUUCAGUGUUAACCGUGUUCAUCACAUUGAUGUGCUGUUUCACUUCAUGCUGUGUGAUGUGAACUUCGGCCAGAGCAAGGAGAAAGCAGUAUAUACUCUGAAAAGGACCCCGCACCGUGUUCACCCAAACAGCACCUCGUCAUGCAUCUCAGAGCCCUCGGCCUCUGGGCCACCUCCUCACUCCCCCAGGGGUGCUCUGAAGCCUUAAACAGUCUGCUUUUCUUUUUCUUUUCUUUCUUUCUUUCUUUUUUUUUUUUUAACAGAGUCUCGCUCUUGUUGCCCAGGCUGGAGUGC